rnacentral:rRNA from 1 species
GGCCAAUCAAACCCGGAGAUAUCUCGUUCUCCCCGAAAUAGCUUUAGGGCUAGCCCCGGGGGUUCUCCCGCGGAGGUAGAGCACUGGACGGCCUAGGGGGCUUCACCGCCUGCCGAAGCCGACCAAACUCCGAAUACCGCGGGAUCAGACCCCGGGAGUCAGAAGGCGUGGGCUAAGCUGCGCCUUCGAGAGGGAAACAGCCCAGACCGCCCGCCAAGGCCCCCAAAUCCAUGUUGAGUGGCAAAGGAUGUGCGCUCGCCCAGACAGCCAGGAUGUUGGCUUAGAAGCAGCCAUCAUUUAAAGAAAGCGUAAUAGCUCACUGGUCGAGUCGGCCUGCGCGGAAGAUGUAACGGGGCUAAACCAUGCACCGAAGCUGCGGCAGCGACACUAUGUGUUGUUGGGUAGGGGAGCGUUCUGUAAGCCUGUGAAGGUGUACUGUGAGGUAUGCUGGAGGUAUCAGAAGUGCGAAUGCUGACAUAAGUAACGAUAAAGCGGGUGAAAAGCCCGCUCGCCGGAAGACCAAGGGUUCCUGUCCAACGUUAAUCGGGGCAGGGUGAGUCGACCCCUAAGGCGAGGCCGAAAGGCGUAGUCGAUGGGAAACAGGUUAAUAUUCCUGUACUUGGUGUUACUGCGAAGGGGGGACGGAGAAGGCUAUGUUGGCCGGGCGACGGUUGUCCCGGUUUAAGCGUGUAGGCUGAUUUUCCAGGCAAAUCCGGAAAAUCAAGGCUGAGGCGUGAUGACGAGGCACUACGGUGCUGAAGCAACAAAUGCCCUGCUUCCAGGAAAAGCCUCUAAGCAUCAGGUAACAUCAAAUCGUACCCCAAACCGACACAGGUGGUCAGGUAGAGAAUACCAAGGCGCUUGAGAGAACUCGGGUGAAGGAACUAGGCAAAAUGGUGCCGUAACUUCGGGAGAAGGCACGCUGAUAUGUAGGUGAAGCGACUUGCUCGUGGAGCUGAAAUCAGUCGAAGAUACCAGCUGGCUGCAACUGUUUAUUAAAAACACAGCACUGUGCAAACACGAAAGUGGACGUAUACGGUGUGACGCCUGCCCGGUGCCGGAAGGUUAAUUGAUGGGGUCAGCGCAAGCGAAGCUCUUGAUCGAAGCCCCGGUAAACGGCGGCCGUAACUAUAACGGUCCUAAGGUAGCGAAAUUCCUUGUCGGGU